UUCAGUACAACUAGUAUAGAUCAUUCAUGUGACUGCAACUAUUAUCUACAUUGGUGUUUGUCAGCCACCAUUAUGAAGAUGUCGAAAGAUCACCAGUAACAAGCUCAUAAUGAUCUGAAUAUGGUAAAGGCCUAUAACUUAAAAGGUAAUACAUAAUUCUGAACGAUUGUUUUUGUUGGCUUUUGAAGGAUGUGUUGGUAAAUGGAGCUCCACAUUAAAUAGAACUAGCACCCAGAUUAAAUUCAUCUAGCUAAAAAAAGGCUGAUCACCUUCCAUUGCCAUGCAUUUUUAAGUCUCAAAUAAUUGAUGGCACAAGUUUGAUAAAACUGGUGAAAAGCUCUCGAAUUUGUCAAUUUUAGGCAAAUAUUAAACUGCUAGACCUAGUACCCUUUUUUAAAUUUAUUUAUAAUAGUGGCUGCAUGGUGCUGGUAGUCUUAAUAAACAAUACUUCUGAUUAAAUCUGGGUUGGGGGGGGGGGUGUCUGUUGCAUUCCCCCUCCCAAUCAAAACCUCUUUAGGUCAGUAUUCCACCCAAAUUAUCUUGCACAUUUGAGGGAUUGCCUUUGAAAUUAUAAUAUUGACCAAUAAAACCUUGACUUGACAAAAGGAAAGUUAGCAAAACAGUCUAACACUUGGAUUUCUUGUUGUCUUGUGAGAAAAUAUGCAUAAGGCACCGACCAUGAAUCGCAGAACCUCGGCUGUUAGCCACAGCAGAUAAAUAAUCUGCCAGGGUAUAGCGUAGAAAUCCAAGGCAUUGUGUUCUAUUAAGCCUCAAAUAGUCAAUGGCACAAGUUUGAUAAAACUGCUCUUGUGACCCUUUGCCAUUUUGUUAAGUUUUAGACAUAAAUUUGAUAAAUUUGCUGGACCUUCCCCCUGUGAAUUUUAGUUUUGGGCUCAAAUUGGCUAAAACUGCUAGUCUUACCCCUUGUGUUUUUUAAACUGUAGGCCAAAUUUGAUAAAACUGCUGGACUCGCCACUUGUGAUUGUUCAAUUUGAGGCUAAAAUUCAGUAAACCUGCUGGACUUUAUACCCCUUGCUAUUUUAAAAUUUUAGAUGCAAACUUAUUUUUUUCUUUUAAAUGUUUUUCUUUGUAGUGUCAUGAAGACUUCAAGAGAUCACCAGUUACAAGCUCAUAUGAAUCUGAAUAUGAUGUAGGCCUAUACCUAAGAAGUGUUUGUCAGCCACCAUUAUGAAGAUGUCGAAAGAUCACCAGUAACAAGCUCAUAAUGAUCUGAAUAUGGUAAAGGCCUAUAACUUAAAAGUGUCAUGAAGACUUCAAGAGAUCACCAGUUACAAGCUCAUAUGAAUCUGAAUAUGAUGUAGGCCUAUACCUAAGAAGUGUUUGUCAGCCACCAUUAUGAAGAUGUCGAAAGAUCACCAGUAACAAGCUCAUAAUGAUCUGAAUAUGGUAAAGGCCUAUAACUUAAAAGGUAAUACAUAAUUCUGAACGAUUGUUUUUGUUGGCUUUUGAAGGAUGUGUUGGUAAAUGGAGCUCCACAUUAAAUAGAACUAGCACCCAGAUUAAAUUCAUCUAGCUAAAAAGGCUGAUCACCUUCCAUUGCCAUGCAUUUUUAAGUCUCAAAUAAUUGAUGGCACAAGUUUGAUAAAACUGGUGAAAAGCUCUCGAAUUUUUCAAUUUUAGGCAAAUAUUAAACUGCUAGACCUAGUACCCUUUUUUAAAUUUAUUUAUAAUAGUGGCUGCAUGGUGCUGGUAGUCUUAAUAAACAAUACUUCUGAUUAAAUCUGGGUUGGGGGGGUGUCUGUUGCAUUCCCCCUCCCAAUCAAAACCUCUUUAGGUCAGUAUUCCACCCAAAUUAUCUUGCACAUUUGAGGGAUUGCCUUUGAAAUUAUAAUUGACCAAUAAAACCUCGACUUGACAAAAGGAAAGUUAGCAAAACAGUCUAACACUUGGAUUUCUUGUUGUCUUGUGAGAAAAUAUGCAUAAGGCACCGACCAUGAAUCGCAGAACCUCGGCUGUUAGCCACAGCAGAUAAAUAAUCUGCCAGGGUAUAGCGUAGAAAUCCCAGAAUGCUUUAGUUUCCAAUAGCCAACUAUCCAAAUACAAUGAGAAACUAUAGUGCAGCCUGUCUUGUCUGCCACGUUUGUAUAACAAACAGACAACAAAAGUCCUGGAACUGGGGAUAUGGCAAAAGGGGGAUAAGGGGUGCAUUAUUUCUGCUACUUUCUGUCCCUCUUUUUAAUGGGUGAAAAGUGUAUCACCACAGGGGCAUACCCGUGCAAGAUACACAAAGAAAUAUCUAGGUAUCUUCGCUCCACACAUGGAUAAAUGAUUACCUGUGAGGGCAGAGUUGUUUCUUGUGAUUGAUUAGCUUACAUAUUUGGGGGCACAGACUGUAUAC